ACGGAAGGCAGCAGUGAGGAAUAUUGGUCAAUGGGCGGAAGCCUGAACCAGCCAAGUCGCGUGAAGGAAGACGGUAUUAUGUAUUGUAAACUUCUUUAGGCGCAGAGAAAUAAGCUCCUCGUGAGGAGUGAUGCUAGUAUGCGCAGAAUAAGGAUCGGCUAACUCCGUGCCAGCAGCCGCGGUAAUACGGAGGAUCCGAGCGUUAUCCGGAUUUAUUGGGUUUAAAGGGUGCGCAGGCGGCAUGCUAAGUCAGCGGUUAAAUAGCGAGGCUCAACCUCGUCCCGCCGUUGAUACUGGCAAGCUUGAUUGCGGUCGAGGUUGGCGGAAUUCGCCGUGUAGCGGUGAAAUGCAUAGAUAUGGCGAAGAACUCCGAUUGCGUAGGCAGCUGACCAAGCCGUAAAUGACGCUCAUGCACGAAAGUGCGGGGAUCGAACAGGAUUAGAUACCCUGGUA
rnacentral:rRNA from 1 species